AGGAACCCAGUGGAGACCUUAGAACCUCCAUGGAGAAGGAGGAUUACUGUAAUCUCUAUGACCCUGUACUGAAUAACCAGCUUGUGCAUCCCACAGUUUUCACGUUAUCUCCUCAGACUACAGCUCUACAGCAUGCUUCAGGCAUGACACAUUUGCUUUCAAAUUUCCAGGUGCUGAAGUGCCAUCUGGUGCUCCCAAGUGCGAGAAGGCUGUGAUGUGUCGUGUGGAGAAAAUCCCACGUGUGAGAGAAGCUUCAAUCAGCUGUGAGUCAUGCGGCUGUUGGAUGAUGUAUCGGCAAGAAGCUGCAUCAGAAAUGGAGCAGAUGGGGCCGACACUGUGGCAUAGCGGGUAAGGCCACCACCUGCAGUACCAACAUCGCACAUGGACACUGGUUCCAGUCCCAGCUGCUCCACUUUCAAUCCAGCUCUCUGCUGUGGCCUGGGAAAGCAGUAGAAGGUGGUCCAAGUCCUUGGGCCCCGGCACCCACGUUGGAGACCCAGAAGAAGCUCCUGGCUCCUGGCUUUGUUUCAGCACAGCUCCAGCCGUUGAGGCGGAUUGAAGAGUGAACCAGCAUAUGGAAGACCUCUCUUCUCUCUCUCUCUCUCUCUCUCUGCCUCUGCUUCUCUCUGUGUGUAACUCUGACUUUCAAAUAAAUAAAUAAAUCUUAAAAAAGAAAAGAAAAGAAAUGGAGAAGUUGGAACUCAAACCAGCACUCCAAUAGAGGAUGCAGAUAUUCCAAGCCACCACCUACCCUGCUGUGCCCUAACUCUCACCCCAAUGGCAAAUUAGUUGCACAAAAGAAGAACAAGAGUAUUAUUCAGCUUUUCAUCUCUAUAACAAAUACCCGAGAGAAAGUACUCAUGAAGGAAAGAAGGUGAUUUGGGCUCACAGUUUUGAGCGUCCAUGAUGGCCCCGUCAGUGUGGCACAAGGGUGCUGGUUGACGGAACAUGCGUGGAGGAAGGACAUGUAAUGUCACUGGAGUAAAUACCACCAUGACUCCAACCAGUCCCCUCUUGUCUUCCAGAGGACCACGUGCAACUGUCCCUGUCUUUUGUUCCCUUUACCCCUGUCUUCUCUUUCUUGUAGCCUCCUUAAAAAUCUCAAAGGAGGGGCCAGUAUUAUGACACAUGGGUUAAGCUGCCACUUGCAAGGUCACUGGCAUACCAUAUUGGACUGACAGUUCAAGUCCCAACUGCUCUGCUUCCAGUCCAGCUCCCUGGUAAUGUUCCUGGGAAAUCUGUGGAUGGAGACCCAAGUGGCUUCAGCCAGGACCAGCCCCAGCUGUUGUAGCAAUUUGAGAAAUGAACCAGUGGAUGGAAGCUCUCUUUGUCUGUUUCUCUCUCUCUCUCUCUGGCUUUCAAAUAAAUAAAAUAAAUCCUUUUUUAAAAAUCCCAAAGCGGCUGGCGCUGCGGCUCAAUAGGCUAAUCUUCCACCUGUGGCGCCGGCACACCGGUUCUAGUCCUGGUCGGGGCACCGGAUUCUGUCCCGGUUGCUCCUCUUCCAGGCCAGCUCUCUGCUGUGGCCUGGGAGUGCAGUGGAGGAUGGCCCAAGUGCUUGGGCCCUGCACCCGGCUGGGAGACCAGGAGAAGCACCUGGCUCCCGGCUUCAGAUCAGCACGGUGCUCCGGCUGCAGCGCGCCAGCCGCAGCAGCCAUUGGGGGGUGAACCAACAGAAAAGGAAGACCUUUCUCUCUGUCUCUCUCACUGUCCACUUUGCCUGUGGGGGAAAAAAAAAUCCCAAAGCACCCUCGUUCCGCAGGACAGUAGUUUUGGAGGUGUGAGUGUGCUACCUCCUCAUCUACUGAUAGAUUAAGCUUUCUCUUUCUUUCAUCCUCAAAUCUUGUCCAUGUUAUUUUGACCUGGCACAACUAAGGACCAAGCAUUCUAUAGCAAAAUAAUCCAAUGUACUUAAUGAGACGGCUAUCACUUAUAUCAGAAAUAAAAUGUUUUCUUCCACUUUGCAUUUAAGGUAUUUGCCUUUUAAUAAAUUACUAUUUAUCACAAAAAUAAUAUAGGCAUUUUCCUUCAACUCACAUUAGGUUUUAGUAAAACACCAACUGCUACUGUGUUGGGAGUUUUUAUUGCAAGGAUCCAGAGAAUGAAAAAGAGAACUUAGGAAGCAGUUCUUUGGAAGGAGAGAAAUUAGAAUAUUUCUGAGGCUCUGGGAACCUCAGAGGUGGGAACUCAUGCACAAUCUCUUUUAGGCGCCACCCUUGAAAUAAUUUGGCACAAACUGCCUAUUCUGUGUGUGUGUGUCUGUUAGGGAUUUUUUUUUAUGAACCUUUUAAAAUUUUUUUUAUUUGACAGGUAGAGUUAUAGACAGUGAGAGGGAGAGAGACAGAGAGAAAAGUCUUCCCUCCAUUGGUUCACUCCCCAAAUGGUGGCGACUGCUGGAGCUGGGCCGAUCCAGAGCCAGGAGCUUCCUCCAGGUCUCCCAUACAAGUGCAGGGGCCCAAGGACUUGGGCCAUCUUCUACUGCUUUCCCAGGCCAUCAGCAGAGAGCUGGAUCGGAAGUGGGGCAGGCGGGACUAGACCUGGUGCCCAUAUGGGAUGCUGGCUCCACAGGCAGAGGAUUAACCUCCUGUGCCACAGCACCGGCCCCUGAACUUUUUAAAUUGAAGUAUAACACAUACACUGCACAGAUGUCAAGUGUACAGCUCCAUGUAUUUUUACCAACUGAACACACACAUGUUACUUGCUCUCAGGUCAAGUCACAGAACAUUAUCCAUGCCCUGGAAAUCAUUAUACCCCUUCUCAUAACAUAUACAUAUUAAAACAUAUCUACUGUUCUGAUUUCUACCACUUAAAUUUGUUUUACUUAUUUUCAAUCUUAAUUUAAAUAUAAUCAUAUAACAUGCUUUAAUUCCUGGGAGAUGAUCCUUAUUGUUGCAUAUAAUAAGUAGCUUUUUUCUGAUUAUUAUAUUCUAGGCUAUGCACACUACACCUUUGAUGGACAUUUGGGUUGUUUCCAAUUUAGAGAUAUUAUAAGCAAAGCUACAAAUAAAUAUUCUUGUACAUUUUUUUUCAAGUUUUUAUUUUCUAAAGGUAGAACUGCUGAGUGAUAAGGUAAGUAUAUUUUCAGAUUUAGUAGAUUAUUGCCAAAAAAAUUUCCAAAGAAGCUGUACUUUUAUAUUCUACCCAUAGACAAUUAAAGUUCCAGUUGCUCCAGAUUCUUGCCAGCACUCCAUGUUAUCAUGUAAGACUUUGUAUCUUUACGGUUAUUUGGGUAGUGUUAUCUCACUGUGUGCAUUCCCCUGGUGACUAAUGGUGCUGAACACUCUCUUUUGUUAUGCUCAUCGAUCAGUUAGUCACCCUUCUAUGUGACUGCCAGUUUAAGCAUUUUGUCUGUCCUGUUAAUGGGUUUUGUGUCUUUCUUAAUUCCCAGGAGAGUAUUUGAUUGGUCUUAGCACUGAGUUAUGGAUGUGGCCAGUUGUGGUUGGCAUGCUUUCAGAGUUAUGCAAAGUAGUAAUAGUGAACAGUUUCCAAAGGAAGAUCCCCUGGGCAGGCAGAAACUAAUGAUAGAUGCUUUAUAAUAGUUGUAAGUUAAAAACUGAUCUCUGUGCUUCAUUCUUUUAAAAUGACAGUAUCCCAGAGCUAUCAUAAACAAUAUUUUGAUUCCUUGCUUGAAUAGAAAUCUUGUUAUCCAGAACAUCCUCUUGUUCUUACUAAUUCUAAAAUUAUUUCCUUCAAAUAUUAGGAUCAAAUAAGAAUUAGGGAUAAUGUUGGUCAAACCUUAUACCAGUUCACAUCUAAUAGGCGGAGAAAAAGAGAGAGUGUGUGUGCUCUUAUCCACUGGUUCACUCUCCAAAUUCCUCUAACAUCGGGAGCUGGACCUGAGGGUGAAGCUGGAAAACAGGAAUGCAAUCCAGGUCUCCCCGUUACUUGGCUAUCAACACACUGCCUCUCAGGGUCUGCACUGGCAGGAGGCUAGAGUCAAGGAUUGAACCCAGGUACUCCAAUAAGAGAUGAUGCAUUUUGACUGCUAGGCCAAACUCUCACUCGUCUAUUUUGUCCUAACGCCUUAUGUUAAUGUAACACUGUAUAAUUAACAGUAUUUUUCAUUCAUUAUCUCAACCCUGUCUUAAGUAAUUCUUUUUGUUUAAAUUAUUUAUUUAUUUGAAAAUCAGAGUUAGAGGGAAGGAGGAAUAGAGAUCUUCUAUCCACUGGUUUACUCUGCAGAUGUCCACAACGGCUGGCAUUGGGCCAGGUUGAAGUCAGCCAGGAGCUUCAUCCAGGUCUCCCAUGUUGGGUGGCAGGGGCCCAAGUAGUUGGACCAUCUUCUGCUGCUUUCCCAGGUCAUUAGCAGGGAGCUGGAUCAGAAGUGGAGCAGCAGGAACACGAACCAGUGCCCCAUGGGAUACUUGUGUUGGAGAGGCUGGCUUUACCAGCUACGCCACAGUGUCAGGCCCUUAAGUAAUUCUUUAUAAUACAAAAAGUAAAUUAAAGCAUUCUUCUUUUAAAAAAUUAAUACAUUAUAGAUAAGGCUACAGUUAGUUCCUUUUGACCUUAAUUCCCCCAAAAUUCCGUAUCCUUCUCCUGUGCCAGAAGUAACUUUUUUUUUCUUAAAAAUUUAUUUCUUGCCAGCACCGCAGCUCACUAGGCUAAUCCUCCGCCUUGCGGCACCGGCAUACCGGGUAGUCCCUGUCGGGGCGCCAGAUUCUGUCCCGGUUGCCCCUCUUCCAGGCCAGCUCUCUGCUGUGGCCAAGGAGUGCAGUGGAGGAUGGCCCGAGUACUUGGUCCCUGCACCCCAUGGGAGACCAGAAUAAGUACCUGGCUCCUGGCUUUGGAUCAGCGCAGUGUGCCGGCCGCGGCGGCCAUUGGAGGGUGAACCAACGGCAAAAGGAAGACCUUUCUCUCUCUGUCUCUCUCUCUCACUGUCCACUCUGCCUGUCAAAAAAAUAUUUAUUUAUUUAUUUGAGAGGCAGAGUUACAGAUUGAGAGAGGGAGAGACAGAGAGAGAUCUUCCAUCUGCUGGUUCACUCCCCAAAUGGCUGCACCAGCCAGGGUUGAGCCAGAUCAAAGCCAGCAGCCAGGAGCUUCUUUCUGGUCUCCCACAUGGAUGCAGGGGCCUAAGCACUUGGACCAUCUUCCACUGCUUGUCCAGGCACAUUAGCAGGGAGCUGGAUGGGAAGCGGAGCAGCCAGAAUACAAACUGGUGCCCAUAUGAGAUUACCAGUGCCUAUAUGAGAUGCCGAUGCUACAGGUGGUGGCUGCACAUGCUACGCCAUAGUGGCAGCCCCAGAAACAACCAUUUUUAUGUCUGAUAUCCACUGUUCACUUACCCAGUAAAUAGUAUAUAUAUAUAUAUAUAUUGUUCUAUAACUUUCUCUUUUUCUUCAACACGUUGUCUUAUAAUCUGUGGUGUUACCUACUUUAUCUAAUUCAUACAUUUUAGCAGCAUUAUAAAAAUAUGCAGUAUCAAUAUACCAUGAUUUAUUUCAACGAUUUACCUAUUAAAAUUAAUUAUGUUGUUUAGAUUUUAUCUUGUUUCCUAUAACUUUUUUCCACAUAAUAGGGAAAACAUUCUUACAGACAAGACUGACCAACAAAGCUCACCGUGGAAAAAGAAAAAAAAAAAACAAGAACAUCACACUUCCAGUCAAUGUGUUUGUGUUUAUUCUACAGUAAAACUGUGAUGUUCCUGAGCACUGGCUGGCACAUGUAGUAGGGAACACCCUCCUGUGAUUCUGCAAGUAAUCCCCAUUAGAGGUGCCACGUUGUUUGUCUGUAACUCUCACUGUACACGAGGCAGGUAUAGCGUAAAAAUGUCAAAACGUCUGCUUAAAAAUAACUUCAUUUUUGCUUCAGAAAUAAGCCAGGAGAAGGAAGAAGAAUUGAAAUCCAACCAAUUUAUUUUUAAGAAUGCUUGCAAAGUUUUCAUCUGCUGUUGAGUCUCUUCAACCAAAAGCUAAACAAGUUUGUGCAGGCAGAUAAGACCUUUAGCAUAAUUUAUAAGUGGUUUCAUGCAAAAACCCUCCAGCCAUCUUAUCACUCAUCAUCUUUUAAUAACAAAACUGGAAUGUUACUCUGUAUUUGGUUAAGAAGACUUGAAGAUGGUUUUCUCAAUGCUUUAAACAUUUGAGGCUGUGUGUAAGUGAAAUGUGUGAAAGAAAUGACUUCUUUGCCUCAGAAGUGAUUCAUUUAAAGAAAGAAGACAAAAAUUAGUGUGUGUAGCACAUCACUGAGUACCCCACAUGGGAUGUCCGCACACUGAUCGAGUGCCAGGGUUCAAGUCCUGGCUCCACUCCCAAUUCCAGCUUCCUGCUCACCUUCUCCCUUUCAAAUAAAUAUAAAUUGAUUAUAUUUUUAAAAACCACACACACACACACACACACACGCAUACUCCCUCCCCUCUAGGAUACUAGUGAGCACUUCCAAUUUCUUGCCAACCUGUUGCCUUAUUCUCAUAUGGAGAUAUUGGCUUCAUUCACACAUUAGAAUCAUUUGAAAUAAUAAUGGAGAAUCAUAUGGUCUUCAGUAGGAAUUCUCAUUUACAAUGCUUUUAGUCUUCAUGUUGGAAUAAUAUAGAAGCAGUAGAUUAAAUGUUUGAUCAAAACUCAUUUUUUUAAAUAUGUAUUUAUUUUAAAUUCAGAAUUACACAGAGAGAGAAGGAGAGGCAGAAAGAGAGAGAGAGAGAGAGAGAGAGAGAGAGAGAGAGAGAGAGAGAGGUCUUCCAUUCGCUGGUUCACUCCCCAAUUGGCCACAACGGCUGGAGCUGCAAUGAUUCGAAGCCAGGAGCCAGAAGCUUCUUCCAGGUCUCCCUUGGGUGCAGGGACCCAAACUUGGGCCAUCUUCUUCUGCUUUCCCAGGCCAUAGCAGAGAGCUGGAUUGGAAGAGGAGCAGCCAGGACUUGAACCAGUGCCCAAAUGGGAUGCCAGUACUGCAGGCAGCAGCUUUACCCACUACACCACAGUGCCGGCCCCAAUCUGGGGUCAUUUUUAAAGACAGAUUCUCUAAUUGAGAAUUAAAGGAACUCACACAGUCAAUGUCUUUUAUUUUUCCAGGGAACUAUAAACAACCUUUUGCAUUCAAAUUGUUGCCUCUCUGUCUUUGUGAUAACCCAAGCAAAUAUCACCACACAAGUCCUAGGUGCUCAUUUUAACUAAAAGAUCAACAAGUAACAUUGUAGAAAGAACACAGUGUUAAGAAAAAGCCUGAAGGGGCCAGCAGUGUGGCACAACAUGUUAAGGCAUUGCCUAUGACACCAGCAUCUCAUAUAUAGGUACCAGUUUCUGCUCUGAAUGCACUACUUCCAAUCCAGCUCCCUGCUAAUGCACCUGGGAAAGUAGCAAAGGAUGGCCCAAGUCCUUGGGCCCCUUGGACCCAUGUGGGAUACCUGGCUGGAGUCCCAGGCUCCUGGCUUUGGCCUGGCUCCUCAGGAACAACCCUGUGCUUCAUACAACCCUUGUCUGUUCCAAGAAAUAGCCUUCUUAAAAUUAAUCAGAAACCUUUUCAGUAGCCUUCUUUCAAAGACAAUGUUUGCGGGACCGGCACUGUGGCAUAGUAGGUUAAGCCUCUGCCUGCGGCACUGGCAUCCCAUAUGGGUGCCUGUUCAAAUUCCAGCUGCUCCACUUCUGAUCCAGCUCUCUUCUAUAGCCUGGGAAAGCAGUAGAAGAUAGCCCAAACACUUGGGCCCCUGCACCCAUGUGAGAGACCCGGAAGAAGCUUCUGGCUCCUGGCUUUGGAUUGGCACAGCUCCAGCUGGUGCAGCCAUUUGGAGAGUGAACCAGUGCAUGGUAGACCUUUCUCUCUGUCUCUCCCUUUCUCUGUUUUUAACUCUACCUCUCAAAUAAAUAAAUAAAUCUUUAAAAAGACCAAAGGCAAUGUUUGUAACCAAUUAUGUUCUUUUUUUUUUUUUUUGACAGGCAGAGUAGACAGUGAGAGAGACAGAGAGAAAGAUCUUCCUUUUUCCGUUGGUUCACCCCUCAAUGGCUGCUGCAGCCAGUGCACCGUGCUGAUGCAAAGCCAGGAGCCAGGUGCCUACCCCUGGUCUCCCAUGCGGGCCACAGCAGAGAGCUGGCCUGGAAGAAGGGCAACCAGGACAGAAUCCGGCGCCCCAACUGGGACUAGAACCCGGUGUGCCGGCGCCGCAGGUGGAGGAUUAGCCUAUUGAGCCGUGGCGCGCUGGCCCCAAUUAUAUUCUAAAGAAAGUAUUCACCAACCUGUGAGAAAUUUGUUCCCACUUCCCUGAAGCCCACCUGUUUGGGCCAAGCCAAUAUUUAUUCCCACUAUAAUGAUAAAUAAAAAUUUGCCAUCGUGGAAUAAAUCCUGACUCAACUCUGGCCACUUUGGGUACUUCCCAAGACUCAUUAGAAGCAUUUGGUUUAUGCCUCCCAGACCUGGAUCGCUCAUUCUUCCCUGGAUAAACCUUAAAUCUACCUUUUGUCAGAGCCCGUUGACUGCUGUUGACACGUCGUAGUAACUGGUUACCUUUUUCAGCCCCCCUUUUCAUUUUAUCACUAAAAAUGGCUAAUAGCUACCACUGAGUGUCCUUCUUAUUUUAUAUUUGAGGGCUAAAUCAAUAGCAUUUGCUCAAAGGUUUUGAAUUACAAGUAUUACUGCUUUAAAUACAGCUUAUGUAUUGUAGGUAUAUACAAUAAGGAAAGAGCAUAAAAUCCAUAAUUAUAGAGAUUUUAUUUUAUGAGGAAAAUAUCUGAGCUUCCCGUAUGUAUUUUUCCCUCAUGCUGCCUUCCAUUUACCAUGGAACUGUUGAUUGGUUAUUCUGUGUCAAAUGGUAUAAUAAAUACACACAGCUUCAAUCUUCAGCUCCCUCUAAGACUAACUCCAGAAGAGCUGCAAGACCAGUAGUAAGGGCAUGUUUUGGCUACAGUAACGUGGUAUGGAUAUAUAUGUUUUUAAGAAUAAAAACCAGGGCAGAUAUUAUGGCACAAUGGGCUCAACUGCUUCUUGACACCAACAUCCCACACUGGAGUGCCUGGGUUCAAGACCAAACUCCGUUCCCAGCCCGCAUUCCUGCUGCCAUCUGUUCUGAGAGGCGGCCGAUGAUGCCUCAAGCACUGGGGAACCCUGCUACACGUGUCGGAGACCUGCGUGCAGCUUCUGCUUUACAGUCUUGGCUGAGGAGUGCGUCUAGUGAGGGAAGGACUCGGCGCGCCUUCCCCCUACCCCUUCCUCCCUUUAUGGAGAUCCUUGGUGCCUGCCCUGACCCUUCUCAACUCCUUGCAGUGCAAAUGGCAAAGCAGAUAAGCUGCAACAGGGCAGCUAUGAAACAGAUAAGAGGAAAGUUCCCUGAGGCUUCAAACAGCCCCCUGCUCUUCUGCCAGCUGCCUUCUAGCCCCUGCCCCUGGUACUGGCACAUUCCCUCCUUAGCUGGAGAAAAACUCAGUUCUAAACGUGCUCUGUGUGCAGUCUGUUCGCAAGAAUAGACUGCUGCCAGCCUCUUUGCUUCAAAUAAAGCAACUUGUCUGGGGGUACAAAAGGCCAGAACCCAGAGCUAUUCCAUACCUAGCAGGGAGUGGACCAGCAGAUGGAAGAUUCUCUCUCUCUUUCUCUCUCUCUCUCUCUCUCAAAUAACUACAAAAUAAACAUUUUUAAAUAAAAAUGCCCAGGUAGGCAGGAAAAGAAUUUCCAUUGUAUAACAAAUCAGUGGUGGGAAGGAGUAGGAGGCAGGUAGAACCUAAGAAUGUGAGGAUACUCAGAAGUUUCUAGCCUCCGAGACUGGAGAAAUAAUAGUGCCAUUUCCAGAAACACAGGCUGUAGAGUGAUGAGCGGUGGGUUUUUGGAUCUAUUACAUUUUGGGUUUCUUCAUGGUAUUCAGAGACAUCUUAAGGAAAAUAGGAGUCUGAAGCUGAGGGAAGAGAUAAUGUUAUAGAAGCUGAGACAAGAUAUUAUUGUGAAAUUCUGUUGAUAACUGUUUUUGAAUUCCUGGAAUCCUGUCGCCCUGCCCUCCCCCCAGCCAGGAAGUGUGAAGCUCUCUGUCUCACCGCCCUCAGGGUAUGGCUGUUACUAUAGAAAUGAAAAGAGAAAGAUGACUCAAUGUUCAGUUUGUAUGUUUCAAAAUACAGCUUUGAAUCUCCUGGCAAAGAAAACAAGUUGGGAGAAAAGGUGUGUGUGUGUGUGUGUGUGUGUGUGUGUCUCAAAAGCCUGGAUUUUGAGUAUCAAAAGCCAAAGUUGAAUCCAUAAGCAACAGAUUUCAGUAGAGUGGCUGAUGGUGAAAGAGCCAGUAUCCCCGCUGGAAGCAAGGUAGAGAUGAGGGUCUCUGAGCAGGGCCUCCCCUCCCUGCCUCCAUCCUCACUGCUGAGACUCAUGGGGCACAACCAUGGGAUUCUCUAACAACUGUGGAGACCUAGAGGAAAUGCGGUGUGUUCCACCUGCUGUCAGCAGCCCAGCUAUUCCCCUCUGUUUGCACCAUCUCGCAGCCGUGGCUGCCGUACAAGUGACCAUGUGAUUGACAGAGUAUGGCUCUUAUUAUCAUUCAUGUUUACUUAUUUACUUAUUGAUUUCCCUACAGGUGACCGAUUUUCAGUUGCUGCUGUCACCCCUCCACCAAGUGGAUCCUUGCUGAACACACACUGGCCUCAUCACACACACAGGUGCCCUGUGUCUAGCUGACUCUCUCUUAGGGGUACCUGCAUCUCCUGGGGAUGCCCACCUCAACCUGUUAAGACCCCACACCCCAAUUCCCACUGCCUACCUCCAUGUAGACUAGUUCAUUUUCUCCCCACACUUCUGUGAGAAGCCAGAGUUAACACUCAUCUUACCAAAGUAGGAUUUGUAUCAAGAAUAUGUAAACAAGAUGGGCGUUUAGCCUAGCAAUGAAGAUGCCAGCGAAGACCCCCAUUGUAUCAUAUCGGUGCUCUCGUCCCAAGUCAGUGUCAGGGUCCCACUGCCAGCUUCAGCUCCUGACUCCUUUCCUGCUGAUACAGACCCGGGGUGGCAGCAGGGAUGGCUCAAGUGACAGAGUUCCUGACAUCCAUGUGGGAGACCUGGAUUGAGUUCCUGGCUCCCAGCCUUGGUCUCAGUGAGGGGGCCCUUGAGAGCAGUUGGGGAGUCAACAGUGGAUAGGAGCGCGCGCUCUCUCUCUCUCUGCCUUUCAAAAAAUUAAUAAUAAAAAGAAUAUAUCAAUACCGAGGAAGAUGGUGCAAGACAAACAACUCAAAAAGGAAAAAAGACUUGGGGUCCGGAACUGUGGCGUAGCAGCUAAAGCUUGCUGCCUGCAGUGCUGGCAUCCCAUAUGGGCAUCGGUUUGAGUCCUGGCUGCUCCACUUCUGAUCCAGCUCUCUGCUAUGCCUGGGAAAGCAAUGGAAGAUGGUACAUGUGCUUGGGCCCCUGCACCUGCAUAGGAAAACUGGAGAAAGCUCCUGGCUCCUGGCUUCAGAUCGGCACAGCUCUGGCCGUUGCGGCCAGUUAGGAAGAGAACCAGCGAUGGAUGACCUCUUUCUCUCUGCCUCUCCUUUCCUCUCUGCAUAACUCUGACUUUCAAAUAAAUCAAUAAAUCUUUAAAAAAAGAAGAAAAAAAGACUUGAAUAAGCAAUUUUAGAAAAGAAAAUAAAAAUAAUAUAUAUGAAAAUUUGCUCAACCUCAUUAAAAACUAGUAAAAUGCAAAUUCAAAUCAAAGUGAGAAAUCAAUUUAUAGUUACAAGAGUAAGAAAACAAUUGAGUGUAGGCAAAUAGGAACAGCACUGAGGACUUUUCAAGCUAUGAGUGGGAAUGUAAGCUUAUAUACUCCUUUGGAGGAGACUUUGACAUUAUACAAAAAUGUGCUUUUUAGACUCAGCUAUAAAAACCAUUCUUAAGACAGGUACCCUGGAGAAGCUCUUCUACAUUCAUUCCAAGAAACCUGUGUAUCAGUGUUUACAGAGGCGUUAUUUGUAUUAGCACACAAAAAGAAAUCCCAAAACAGUUAGAUCUCUAAACACUUUGUAAAGAAUGAAAUAUUGCUUCUCACUGCUCAGAAUGUGAAGUGCAAAUUACUAAAUAUGGUAUGGAAAAGAAGGUUCAAACAAAAAUCAUUGUUCUGUAUUUGGGGUACAGAUGGGGCAAAGUUUUAUAUUUACUUCAUUUUUUUAAAGAUGUAGGUAUUUGAAAGACAGAGUUACAGAGAGGCAGAGGCAGAGAGAGGUCUUCCAUCUGCUGGUUCACUCUGAUACAGGCUGGCAGAUAGUCUCAAUUUGAUGAGAUUUGUAAGCUGAUCAAUUUUGUGCCAGUAUUCAGAAUUCUUUGAAUAGAUGGCAAGAACCCACAGGAAAAUUACUGAGCUGGAUGAUAUCAACUCCCCAGAUGGCUGCAUCGGUGAGGAGGGAGGGAGAGCGAGAGAACAAGAGAGGAGCCUUCCAUCCACUGGUUCACUCCCCAGGUGGCUGCAAAGGCCGGAGCUGGGCCCAUCUGAAGCCAGGAGUCAGAAGCUUCUUCCUGGUCUCCCACAUGGGUGCAGGGGCCCAAGCACUUGAACCAUCUUCUAGUGCUUUCCCAGGCCAUAGCAGAAAGCGGGAUCAGAAGUAGAGCAGCUGGGAGUUGAACAGGUGCCCAUAUGGAACAGCAGCGUUGCUGAUGGUGGCUUUACCCACUAUGCCACUGUGCCGGCACCUACUUCAUUUUUUAAAAAAAGGAAAAUAGGUAGCAGGUGAAGCCUCUGCCUGCAGCGCUGGCAUCCCCUAUGGGUACAAGUUUGUAUCCCAGCUUCUCCACUUACAAUCCAGCUCCCUGCUAAUGUGCCUGGAAAAGCAGUGGAAGAUGGUUCAAGUCUUUGGGCCCCCACACCCACAUGGGAGACCUGGAAGAAGCUCCUGGCUCCUGGCUUUGGAUCGCUGCAGCUUUGGCCAUUACAGCCAUUGGAGAGUGAACUGGAGGAUGGAAGACCUCCCUCUUUGCCUCUCUCUCUGUCUUUCUCUAACUCUGCCUCUCAAAUAAACAAAUUUUUUUAAAAAAUGUAAAAUGGGGUGACUCUUUGAACACUAAAAUUCAAAUUGAUAUUUUUCUCUUUACCCACUAUGCCACAGUGCCAACCCCUGAUAUUUUUCUCUUUAAAGAUAAUGUACCUUUGAGCAAGUAUUAGCAGUCUUUUAUCUCUUUUAUCUCAACUGAUACCACUUUUAUCUCAACUGAUACAAUCUGAACCAACAUUAAAUUUCACACAUACCAUUGUUAUUUAUCUAAACAAUGUGCUGCAAAUAUUUAAAACAGCUAAACCAUAUAAGAGAUCUUUCAAAUUGAAAACAAAAAGAACACCCAAGGUCCAACAUCAGAAGAACGACUGUUAUAUUCAUCCAAUAGAAUACUUUUUAAAGAUUUAUUUAUUUAUUUGAAAGUUGGAGUCACACAGAGAGAAAAGGAGAGGCAGAGAGAGAGAGUGAGGUCCUCCAUCUGUUGGUCCACUCCCUAAUUGGCUGCAAUGGCUGGAGAUGCACCCAUCCGAAGCCAUGAGCCAGGAGCUUCCUCUGGGUCUCCUACAUGGGUGCAGGGGCCCAAGGGCUUGGGCCAUCCUCCACUGCUUUCCCAGCCACAGCAGAGAGCUGGAUGGGAAGUGGAGCAGCCGGAACUCGAACUGUGCCCAUAUGGGAUGCCAGCACUGUAGGUGUCAGCUUCACCUGCUACACCACAGUGCCAGCCCCAUCCAAUAGAAUAUUACACAGCAGUGAAAAAAUCAGUUACAACACAACUCACAUGAAUUGACCCCCAAAAUAGGAUGUCAAGCUAAGAAAACGCAAGGCACUUUACGAUUUCAUUUAUAUGAAGUUCCAAGAAGCAAAAAUGAGCAAUGUGUUUAGAAAGACCCACACAUGUGGUAAACAAUUUUUUUCAAGAUUAUUUAUUUGAAAGGCAGAGAAAGAGAGGGAGGGAGGAGGAGGCCGGGGAGAGAAAGAUUGAUCUCUACCACUGGCUCACUCCCCACAUGCCCACAACUGUCCAAGCCAGGAGCCCAGAACUCUUUCCAGGCAUCUCAUGUGGGUGACACAGCAGUUAAGAACUGCUUGGAAUGCCGACCCCUCAUUUCAGAGUGCCUGGGAUUGAGUCCUGCCUCCUCCUCUGACCCAGCUCCCUGCUAAUGCACUUCAGAAGGCAGCAGAUGAUGACCCUAGAGCUUCUGGAAGGCACCUGGGAGAGACAUGGGUGGAGUUCUGAGCUCCUGGUUUUGACCUGUGCCAGCCUCAGCUGUUGCAGGCACUUGGCGAGUGAACCAGCCGAUGGGAGAUUUUGCUCUUCAUCCCUCCCUCGUUUUGUCAGUCUGCCUUUCAAAUAAAGGGAAAGCUUGUGGAAUAUGAAAUGAAAAGAUGCUUAUGUUAAAAAUUAAGAAAAAUGGUAAAUGGAAUUCAGAAUUGGAGUUAUCUCUUGGGAGUCAGGAAACAGGUUGAAUAGGAGGGUAGAGAGGAGGCAAAAACGGUUUGGGUAAUAUUCUCUUAACAGUGAGUGAUAGAUACACAAGGUACAUUUUAUUGUUAUUUUUUAUACCUUACAUAUUUUUAUACUCUUUUGUAUGUACUCAAAAUGUACAUUUCAGGGGCCUGCAUCAUGGUGCAGUUGGUUAAGCAGCUGCCUGUGAUAAUGGCAUCCCUUAUGGGCACUAGUUUGAGUCCUGGCUGUUCCACUUCCCAUCCAGCUCCCUGCCAAUGCACCUGGGAAAGCAGCAGCAGAUGGCACAAAUAUGUGGGCCCUGGCACCUACAUGGGACACUCGGAUGGAGCUCCAGGCUCCUGACUUUGGCCUGGUCCAGCUCUAACCAUUGUGGCCAUUUGGGGAACGAACCAGUGCAUGAAGGGAGUGUAGGUUCAAGAUAAAAGAUAAAAUAGUGAUGCCAUUGGCACUGUCUGAAUUACCUGUGCUCUGGGGAUUAGUCCUAGCAGAGCUAUGAGGCUUGGAGCAAACUCUACACACAGUAUCCCAUUCCUCUUACAUAGUUAUGCAGUUACUGGAUGGUUGGUUAUUGGACCACCAGCUGACACACCUCCAGUAUCCGAAUUUCAUGUUAAUUUCAGGUGCCAGCUGCACAGGGCCCAGCCUGGCUGAGAUAAUUGCUCUAGUUCAUCACAUAUCUAUUAUUUAUUUAUUUAUUUAUUUACAGGCAGAGUGGACAGUGAGAGAGAGAGACAGAGAGAAAGGUCUUCCUUUGCUGUUGGUUCACCCUCCAAUGGCCGCUGCGGCCGGCGCACCGCGCUGAUCUGAUGGCAGGAGCCAGGUACUUCUGGUCUCCCAUGGGGUGCAGGGCCCAAGUACUUGGGCCAUCCUCCACUGCACUCCCUGGCCACAGCAGAGAGCUGGCCUGGAACAGGGGCAACCGGGACAGAAUCUGGCGCCCCAACCGGGACUAGAACCCGGUGUGCCGGCGCCGCAAGGCGUAGGAUUA